GUGGAAGAUUCAGAAGUCCACUGAGGGAGGCAGAGAGAGACAUCACACACGCGCGUGGCACGCGACACAUUCGUUCUGGGAUAGACCUGUCCCGUGUUGUAGCGGGGCGCAGAAGGAAGGAGGUCGCCCGUUUGGGAAGCUGUAAGAGGCUGGAGCUAGCUGCCCAGAACGCCAUCUACCCCAAGGAUCACAACACCACGUUUCCUGCGGUGCCCAAGGCUCGUGAUGUCUCCAGCUGCCAUAUGCAACAACGAGUUCCAUGAGGUGCUAACCACUGCCCUGCAAACAGGAGUGAGCCUUGAGUGCCCGGCAGCCCUGGCUCGACAUUCCCGCCUCUACAGCACAGCACAGCACAGCACAGCUGUCCCUCCACUGCAGAGGACACCUCCCCUAGACGAUCACCUCGUGUGGCAGUCGGUGCAGAACACAAGCAUCUGUUGGCUCAGAUCAAGGAGUGUAUAUUUUGUACAGGGAGGGCUUCCCACGUGGGACCGAGGCUUUGGUUGGAGUCUGCAGGCCACUAGGCUUGGU